rnacentral:lncRNA from 1 species
GUUUGUGCCCUGCCCAGUAGGUUGCAGGCGGGCAGCUCUCCAGGCUCUUGGCCGAGUUGGGUGGUUUGUCUCCAUUUGGCUGCUGUGAAAUCACAGGGGCCUGUUGGCUGCGGUUGUUUGUGGGCUGCUUCCCUGGAUGGUGAGGUCCUGUGCUCCGCUCCUGGGCUCUGAUGGCUUUCCAGGGAACACUGUUUGGCAUGGGAUACUCAGGAAACUUCCCAAUCAGACAGAAAGAAUAAACACAGACUUCAGCUGACUAGCUCUGCAUUUCCUUUGGGGUUGGUUCUCAGAAACUGAAGGCAAACACAUGUGAACUCACCUGGAAUGAACUUCCCGUCAACAUGGCAUUUGAAAGCUGCAAGGAGCUCAGAGCUCAGCUAGCUCAGCUGGGAGGGGAACGGGCAGUGAGCAUGGUGGGCCAGUGCCUGACGCAGCUUUGCCAACCGGACCCUCUGUUUUCCAAGGCAACCCUCCCGGUCAGCAGCCUCAGCUCUCAGGUAUGGGCUCCCGACACUGUGCCAUCUGGACUCUUUUUGUUGAGAGGAACCAAGUCUCAUUUAGGUCACCUCAACCCAUGGGUUGACACUGGUAUUUUAAGAACACAUACGACUCAAAGAAAGAGGAACAAUCAGGCCUUUUCUAAACACUGGGGCUGUGGUAACAGGUGGGCCAGGCAGGCUGGCCUGGACGGUUCUUUGAGCUGCUGCUGCAGGCCCUGCUGUCUGUGCCGCCUCCAACCACCUCCUUGCUCUACUUCCCAGGGCUGGGGCCCCGCACAGCAGACCAGGGCCACCCCAUUUGGCGGGAGCAGGUGGGAAGUUUGUCUUAGUGAGGAACGGAGGCCGUGGCGAGCGCCGUGGUUGCUGGGUCCGAUGUGUAGAAAGAAGCACUAUUUUAUCGGAAUCCCUGACAACCUGGAAGUGCCUUUGUGCAGGAAGGAUGAGGGUGAACCAGUCUGGGAUCCUCCAUCACCCAGAACACAGACAGAUUCAGCGGUGAGAGGAAACGAAUGUGCUUUUUUGUAG